UCCCAGUUAAGACACACAACAACAACAGUAUGAGACUUUAUGCUUCGCAACUUUCCAUUAUUUUUUGCAUACAAAUGUCAAAAAAGACAGUUAUAGAAGUCAAAUUGCUCUGAAAAUUCAAGUUUCAACCAUAAAGCUAGUAGAGAAGUACGAACUGAGGGAUUAUGCCUUCACAGAGCAGAGUAUACCUGAGAGAUUUAAAUCAUUCCCAAGAGUCCAAGACUUUAAUCU
rnacentral:lncRNA from 1 species